UAGGGAAUCUUCCGCAAUGGACGCAAGUCUGACGGAGCAACGCCGCGUGAGUGAAGAAGGAUUUCGGUUCGUAAAACUCUGUUGUUAGAGAAGAACAGCGCAUAGAGUAACUGUUAUGCGUGUGACGGUAUCUAACCAGAAAGCCACGGCUAACUACGUGCCAGCAGCCGCGGUAAUACGUAGGUGGCAAGCGUUGUCCGGAUUUAUUGGGCGUAAAGCGAGCGCAGGCGGUCAAUUAAGUCUGAUGUGAGAGCCCCCGGCUCAACCGGGGAGGGUCAUUGGAAACUGGUUUACUUGAGUGCAUAAAAGGAGAGUGGAAUUCCAUGUGUAGCGGUGAAAUGCGUAGAUAUAUGGAGGAACACCAGUGGCGAAGGCGACUCUCUGGUCUGUAACUGACGCUGAGGCUCGAAAGCGUGGGUAGCAAACAGG
rnacentral:rRNA from 1 species